rnacentral:rRNA from 1 species
AGGACGAACGCUGGCGGCGUGCUUAACACAUGCAAGUCGAGCGGAAAGGCCCUUCGGGGUACUCGAGCGGCGAACGGGUGAGUAACACGUGAGCAACCUGCCCUUAGCUCUGGGAUAGCUCCGGGAAACCGGAAUUAAUACCAGAUACGACCACUUUAGACAUCUGUCGUGGUGGAAAGGAUUCCGGCUAGGGAUGGGCUCGCGGCCUAUCAGCUUGUUGGUGGGGUAACGGCCUACCAAGGCGACGACGGGUAGCCGGCCUGAGAGGGCGACCGGCCACACUGGGACUGAGACACGGCCCAGACUCCUACGGGAGGCAGCAGUGGGGAAUAUUGCGCAAUGGGCGAAAGCCUGACGCAGCGACGCCGCGUGGGGGAUGAAGGCCUUCGGGUUGUAACCCCUUUCAGCAGGGACGAAGCGAAAGUGACGGUACCUGCAGAAGAAGCGCCGGCUAACUACGCGCCAGCAGCCGC